AAUCAACGCUGGCGGCGUGCCUAACACAUGCAAGUCGAACGCGAAAGCCCCACAAGGGGUAAGUAGAGUGGCAAACGGGUGAGUAACACGUGGGUGACCUGCCUUCGAGUGGGGGAGUAACGUCCCGAAAGGGACGCUAAUACCGCAUAACAUGCUGCCUUUUAACAGGCGGACAUCAAAGACUGGGGAUCGCAAGACCUAGCGCUGGAAGAGGGGCCCGCGCCUGAUUAGCUAGUUGGGGGGUAACGGCUCACCAAGGCGACGAUCAGUAUCCGGCCUGAGAGGGCGGACGGACACACUGGGACUGAGACACGGCCCAGACUCCUACGGGAGGCAGCAGUGGGGAAUUGUUCGCAAUGGGCGCAAGCCUGACGACGCAACGCCGCGUGGAGGAUGAAGA
rnacentral:rRNA from 1 species